rnacentral:rRNA from 1 species
AAGUUAGCGGCGGACGGGUGAGUAACACGUGGGCAACCUGCCUAUAAGACUGGGAUAACUCCGGGAAACCGGGGCUAAUACCGGAUAGUUCUUUUCCUCUCAUGAGGAAAAGGGGAAAGAUGGUUUCGGCUAUCACUUAUAGAUGGGCCCGCGGCGCAUUAGCUAGUUGGUAAGGUAACGGCUUACCAAGGCGACGAUGCGUAGCCGACCUGAGAGGGUGAUCGGCCACACUGGGACUGAGACACGGCCCAGACUCCUACGGGAGGCAGCAGUAGGGAAUCUUCCGCAAUGGACGAAAGUCUGACGGAGCAACGCCGCGUGAACGAAGAAGGCCUUCGGGUCGUAAAGUUCUGUUGUUAGGGAAGAACAAGUAUGAGAGUAACUGCUCGUACCUUGACGGUACCUAACCAGAAAGCCACGGCUAACUACGUGCCAGCAGCCGCGGUAAUACGUAGGUGGCAAGCGUUGUCCGGAUUUAUUGGGCGUAAAGCGCGCGCAGGUGGUUUCUUAAGUCUGAUGUGAAAGCCCACGGCUCAACCGUGGAAGGUCAUUGGAAACUGGGGAACUUGAGUGCAGAAGAGGAAAGUGGAAUUCCAAGUGUAGCGGUGAAAUGCGUAGAUAUUUGGAGGAACACCAGUGGC